rnacentral:rRNA from 1 species
AUUGAACGCUUGCGGCAGGCCUAACACAUGCAAGUCGAACGAGUGGCGGACGGGUGAGUAAUGUCUGGGGAACUGCCUGAUGGAGGGGGAUAACUACUGGAAACGGUAGCUACUACCGCAUACCAUCGGAUGUGCCCCUAUGGUAUUAGCUAGUAGGUGGGGUAAAGGCUCACCUGGGAGACGAUCCCUAGCUGGUCUGCGAGGAUGACCAUCCACACUGGAACUGAGACACGGCCCAGACUCCUACGGGAGUCAGCAGUGGGGAAUAUUGCACAAUGGGCGCAAGCCUGAUGCAGCCAUGCCGCGUGUAUGAAGAAGGCCUUCGGGUUGUAAAGUACUUUCAGCGGGGAGGCGUUACCCGCAGAAGAAGCACCGGCUAACUCCGUGCCAGCAGCCGCGGUAAUAC